CCUACGGGAGGCAGCAGUGGGGAAUCUUGCGCAAUGGGCGAAAGCCUGACGCAGCAACGCCGCGUGCGGGAUGAAGGCCUUCGGGUUGUAAACCGCUUUCAGCAGGGACGAAAAUGACGGUACCUGCAGAAGAAGCCCCGGCCAACUACGUGCCAGCAGCCGCGGUAACACGUAGGGGGCAAGCGUUGUCCGGAUUUAUUGGGCGUAAAGAGCUCGUAGGUGGUUCCGUCAGUCGGGUGUGAAAACUCUGGGCUCAACCCAGAGACGCCACCCGAUACUGCGGUGACUAGAGUCCGGUAGGGGAGCGUGGAAUUCCUGGUGUAGCGGUGAAAUGCGCAGAUAUCAGGAGGAACACCAACGGCGAGGGCAGCGCUCUGGGCCGGUACUGACACUGAGGAGCGAAAGCGUGGGUAGCGAACAGGAUUAGAUACCCUGGUAGUCCACGCCGUAAACGUUGGGCACUAGGUGUGGGGCCUUAUCAACGGGUUCCGUGCCGCAGCUAACGCAUUAAGUGCCCCGCCUGGGGAGUACGGCCGCAAGGCUAAAACUCAAAGGAAUUGACGG
rnacentral:rRNA from 1 species